AACAGACCUCAAUAUAUACCCCGAGGACUGUAAGAGGAAAAAGGCAUUCAUAUGUGAAAGCAAAAACAAAGCACCUCCGUAUGAGUCCUGUAUGGAAACGUCGGAAACAUCUAGUCUAAAGGACAGGGAACCUCAGAAUUUGUGCAAGGACUUUUUUUUCUUUGGUGUAAAUAACGCUCAGGAGUGCGAAUCAUAUUGCAUAGAUCGAUUUCAAUGCUACACAAUGAUGUGGACCAUGGACAAAUGUGAAUCGUACCGAUAUAUGGAUGAACAAACUUGUAGUGAAAUGGGGAGAAAUCUUUCUUCAUCUCUGCGUCACAAAAGUAUUUUCCUGUUCAAUAAUGAGGACUAUUUGUUGGCAACAACCAAACCUCUAG